UACAGUCAUAUCAUGUUGAAACAUUGGUUCCCAUAUGAUCACUGAAGUUAAGCAACAUCAAUCCUGGUCAGUACCUAGAUGAGUGACUGCUUGGGAAUAUCAGGUGCUGUA
rnacentral:rRNA from 1 species